rnacentral:rRNA from 1 species
UACAGAGGUCUCGAGCGUUGUUCGGAUUCAUUGGGCGUAAAGGGUGCGUAGGCGGCGGGGCAAGUCUGAUGUGAAAUCCCGGGGCUCAACCCCGGAACUGCAUUGGAUACUGCCUUGCUAGAGUACUGGAGAGGGAACUGGAAUUUACGGUGUAGCAGUGAAAUGCGUAGAUAUCGUAAGGAAGACCAGUGGCGAAGGCGAGUUCCUGGACAGUUACUGACGCUGAGGCACGAAGGCCAGGGGAGCAAACGGG